UAAUUAUGAAUUCUUCAGCAUGAUUUUUCCAGAAGCCUUGCCAUAAAAUGAAAAUUGUUUGGACAUUUUCAGCUGUGAAGAAUUAGCUUGGGUCUUAAUUUUCAUGAACCUCCAAAGUGCCGGGAAACAGGAAUUCACCUACCUUGUUGUAACUGCAGCCCAUACAUACCUUCAACUUCUCCUUUUGCUCCCUCUGUAGAAGCAUCUCCAGAGCCGCCUCCGUUUUACAGACGAGAAGAUGACAGAGCACAGCAGCAGCAGAUUAUUCACCCAGAGGCUCCAAAGUAGAUGGGACGAAACCACAAGUUUCCUUUUUCUUCUGAAGCUCAUUUAGCCAAAACAUAGGCUGCUGAAUAUUAAGCUGUGAAGCAUAUUAUCAGUGUGUUUAAGGGAGGCUAUUCUUAUGGGAUUGCCAAUUAUAUAGCAGGAAGGUUUGAAAUUCUUACAAGAUCAUCCAAUCUUGUGAGAUGUACAGCUCUGUUUUUGUAUCCAGCAAGCCCUUCCAGUGUCAGUUGCAGAUGUGACCAUGAACACAGAAUUCUGGCAGACGCACCAUGCAUGGGACCUCAGUAAGACUCCAAAUGAGUGCAAAAUAAAUACAUUAUGGAAGCCACGUGACCAGCAGAGACUUCUUGGCCCUCUUCGAGACACAAGUUUGUGUUCAGUCAUUCAGCAUAUCUGGAUGAUCAUCACUUUUCCCUUGUUUUUAACUCCUCUGGCAUGUUUAAGAUGAACUACUUCCCAAAGAAAACAAGCUCCACAGCGGCAGAGACUGGGUUGCCUUUCUUAUUCCCUGUUCUAUGCCAGCCUUGGAACAGAAUCCAGACAUAGUCAUUCAAGGUCCAUUGAUUGAGUGUGUAAAGAUUGUAUGAUUACAAGAAUGGAGUUGGAACUAUUUGAGACUAAAGGCAAAUCUGAUGAAGAAGAAUUCUUUCCCGGUGGGCUUGUUUAUGUUCAAGCCUAGAUUGCCUUCCUCUCUGCUGUCUCCCAAGGUCACAAGAAGGCUCUGAAACCAGACUCAACUUCAGACACAGCCUGGUGAAAUCCUUGGACUUGGUGCUUAUUUCUCAGUGCGUAUUUUCUCGGUGAUUUUGUAUCCUGAAGUUAUUUAGUUGUAUGUAGGGCUUUAUGCUUACCAGAACGAAGAGGAAAGAAGUCAAACUCUAUAUGGCCCAACACCAUGGACAGCCCUUAGAAUAAAGUAAAGAAAGAUGGUU